rnacentral:misc_RNA from 1 species
UCUAUUCUGGUGCUAGUAAUACUCUACUCAAUAAGCUUGAUAGAGUCCAAAACAAUGCCCUGAGGUUGGCCCUGGGUGCCCUCAGCUCCACCCCUGCACAGGACCUUGAGGUAGAGGCAGGAAUACCUCAAGAAGAAUGGAACAAACAUUAAAAUAUUGGACCAGAAUUAAGGCCUCUAAAACUAAUAACCCUGUACACACCUUAUUAGGUACAGGUUAUUUUGCUAAAUCAAAGUUCAAAAAUUACAGUCUUCCAUUUGGGGCUCAUUCCCAGGAAUUGGCUGAGAAUUGUGGCCUAAGAGAUGUAAAUGUUGCCGAACACAGACCCUCCGUGGUUCCGCCAUGGACUCUCAAAUUGCCAGAUGUUGAUAUUUUAUUAACAGAAAAAGUGAACAAAUCUGAUUUGCCGCAAUUCGCAAAUACAGAAACAAAAAUCUAUUUCGAAAAAUAUUCAGGUCAUGUACAUAUAUAUACAGAUGGAUCAAAAUGUCCGAAUUCAGGCAAGGUAGCUUCUGCUGUUGUAGUACCAUCAAUGAAUUUCGAACAAAUCGACAGGUUAACUAAUAAUACAUCCAUCUAUACAGCAGAACUACUUGCCAUCAAAAAUGCUAUGUGCUGGAUUUUGGCCAACAAAUCAAGCAAAGUGGCCAUUUUUUCGGAUUCACUUUCAUCACUGACCUCGCUGAAAUCAAAUAAUAGUCAGUCGAGGCCAGAACUGUUAUCAGAAAUAAUUAAUUUAUAUAAUGAGGGCCUGAACGCAGGCCUAGAGGUCACCAUAGUAUGGUGUCCAGCACAUAUAGGCAUAUCUGGCAAUGAGAGAGCUGACUUGGCGGCCAAGGCGGGACUGUUGUUUGAGAGUGUAACCAAACAUAUUGACCUCUCACCCACUGAAGUAUACUCCAGGAUUCGAACCUAUAUUCUGGCCAAAUGGCAAGCAAUUGUUUCUAUAGGUGAACCGAAAAAUAAACACACCAAGACUUCUGUGGGGCUCAGCCGUCCAAUGAUAUAUUCACAAGAUAUAAAGGUGGAUAAGACCAUAACACGGCUGAAACUGGGCACAAACCUGUUGCCCGGUAGUAUCGGGCAAUAUAUCAGGAAAAUUGAACCGGUUUGUGCCCAGUGUAGAGUGAAAUAUGAUACUAAACAUCUGUUACUGGACUGUGGUGAAUUUGGCACCAAUAGAGAAGCUUUCAAACAAUCACUAUCAUUCUGUGGCCUCAAUUAUACAAUAAAAAACAUACUAGAUCCACCAAAAAUUAAUAGAGUAGCUGUCUUUAAAGCACUAGAAAAAUUUAUUCUAGACUGUAGAUUAACUGAUAAAAUCUAAAAUAAACAUUAUUAAGGUUUUCUGCUUCCCACAUGUGUCUCUUUUCAUAACAUAAAGUCAUAAUAUAUAAAAUAGUGUAAGGUUUAUACUGGAUUUUUAUACUUGACAAAAUAAAGAAAAGUAUUAUACACAAUAUACCUAAAAGAUCUGGUUGUAUAAAGCAUUGAAUAAUUUUAUAAUGACUUUAUAGUGUAAGGUAAUAUUAAUAGUACAUGGAGGAGAAAUUUAAAUAUUAAUGAGGUUUUAUACUUGACAACACCAGAGUAUGAGCCAAAUUUGUCAGUCUUGUCAGAAACAUUUAAUAUUUUUAUAUAAUUCCAAAGAAGGGUUUUUUGAGUGAGUGCGGACUGACCGAACAUUCCCAUUGUAUUUAAUAUAAUGGAAUAAGGUAACAUUAAAAUUAAUUAGUAUAAUACAUAAUAAUAAGAUUGUUUCAGAUACUCCAUAUAUAUACUUUAAUAAUAUAGAACACAAAGUUGGGUAAGCAGUAAACACAAAACAAUAACAACAACUAAACAGAUAUAGGGGUGCUAGUAUAUUCUACUUAACUUAUAAUAGAAAUCCAUGGGAUUGUCAACAUUUUACAUAUAUUCUUUAAAUAAAAACUCUAAAAUAGUUAAAUGGCACUUAGGACCCAGUUGUUUGGGUAAUUAUGAGUAAUAGCCAAAGACGGCAAGUCUUUUUCUUUGACAAAGCAAAAAUUUUAGGUCAAGCGCGAUAUUAGCAAGAAUAGUUGAGCUACAUCAUAUUCAUAUAUAACCGGUCACCCCAGGAACUCUAUUAAUUACCAAUCAGCUAUAAUUGUUAUGGCUGAUUCAGCAAAGGAGAUAAAGACAGUAAUAAGCUUAUAGAAAGAAUAAUAACAAAAAAACUAUGUUUGUUGCUUCUUGUCCUGUCCCUCCUAUAAUACAGUACAGACGCCAUGGUGUACACGAAUAUAUAUACUAUAAUUGUGUAGGUUUUAAUUGUUGCCAUAUCAUGUGACCCUUAUGUUUUAUCUGUAAAUAUGCCAAAUGUAAUUAUUUUAUAUAUAUAUUGAUAUUUUUAACAGUGGCCCUAAAAAGUAAGCCGUGAAACGGUGUUUUCUAUAUAUUGGAUUGUUUUUAUUAUUCAUAUCUUAAACAGGGUCACGCGAAAGGCAUUGUCUUAAAUAUUGUUUGAUUGAUGACCAUUAUUAAUCAUAUGGGAGGAAGGGAGCUACAUGUUGCCUGAUAUGUUAAAAAAGUCUCCAUACUGUACAUAAAUAUAUACUAUUUCUCUUUUAUAGUAUAAAUAAUUUUAGCAGUUUACUGCAGAAAUGGGCUCAAUGUAAAUAAUAUGGAGCAAAAGUCAUCAUGAGCCCAUCCAAGAGUGAAACUAUCUUACAUAUGUUCAACAAGAUAGUUUCACCACAUACCAGGCAAUGCAGAUAUUACUGAUAGCUAAAUGGGGCUUUAGUCUACAACUCAGAUUUUUCUGAGUUGUUAGAAUCUCAGUGUGAUAUCUGGCAACAUUGUUAUUCUUAUAAGGUCAUCAUCAAUAUUCAGUAAUAACAAGGUCCAGAUAUUAGUUAAGUAUGCAAAAAAAAAUUUAGGCAGAAUGACAGAGGCAGUAUAUAAAAAUGAUUAUGGCUUAUGUAAAAACAUAUUAUUUAACAUCAGAAUGAUUUAUUUUCUGUUUACAGCAACAAUCAGGUGGUUAAAUUCGUUUUUUCUGGUUUUUCAGAAAAAUCGGAUUGACCUACUUGAUUUGUAAACAACUUUAGGACAGCCAAUCACGACAAAGCAGACAACGCGGUUUUAACCAAUCAGCGUUGGCCUGCCAAAACCGUGGUUCGUCUGAAAAAUGUAAACAAACAGAAGUUUUUCAAUAAAUUUAGGACUUUGCUGUCUCUGUCACACUUAUAAAUAUAGUUUUAAAUAUAAAAUAUGUUUUAAUAAUUGAUAUAGUAUAAAUUGGGGAAAACAAAAUGCCUUGACACACUAUAUGAGGUACAUGAAAGAAGAUACACAUAUAAAAAUGAAGAGGUGAAAUAAAUAACGCAAGGUACAGAAAGGCCAGAAAGUAGACUUUAUCGAUCUUGCGUCAUAAACUGUUCAAAUAUUCCAAGUGGUGAAUGUUAAUAUUUUUAAAUGACAAUAAGUGUUUGUGAUUGAUAUCGAACUCCUACUGUGACGGCCACAAACCCAUUGACUGAUUUCUGUGAAGGCCACAAAGGACAUAACGAUUUGCUAGUUUUGUUUAAGUUUGAUAUAUCAUUGGAAGUAAUACUUAUAUAAUAAUGGAUGUGACCACAGAUGGACAAAUAAAUAAUGGCGCAAAGGACUAUGACAUAGGGACCAACCACGUGCACAAUCAUGGUUCUGUGCACGGGUACAACGCCGUAAGAGAACAAGAUGAGAUACCACACGAUAUGAUAGGAAAAGAACAUAGAACAGCUCACAUGGAACACAUGCAAAUGCAAAUGCAAACAACGUUUUCCCUGAAGACAUACUCUGAUUUUCUACUUGAAGGUGUCAAAAUUUCAUCUAUCCAAGGAAUUGUCCUGGCAAUGCUCUUCACUUUUGCGAUUACAAUGUUAGUUGACAGCUUAAAAUUUACGACACACGUGCUGGCAAUGCGCAAAGGAAGUCAAGAUAAACCGCAAGAUCUGAAAAAAAGACAGAACAGGCAUCUCUUUGUCGCAGCAAUUUCUCACACGUUGUCUGUAAGUCUCGCCUAUGUUAUGAUGCUCUGUAUAAUGACAAUGAACGUUUGGUUAAUGGUAUCAGUCGUUCUAGGAUCCGGAAUUGCACAUUUCCUUAUAAGACCUGUGUUGUCAUGGAAACUAAAAGAACAUUCGGAGCAUUCUGAAGACUUAAAUAUAGAAAGAAAUGCAGAAGAAGCCGAGCCAUUAAAUCAUUACCAUGACUUUCUAGAAAAAAGAAAGGGGCGCGAAAAUGGUAGAAUGUGUUCUUUGUUAGAAAAUAACUCCUGAUCGCUGCAGAUGCAUACGUUUGAAUUCGCUAUAAACUAGCAGUUAAACAGAAUCUGGAUAUGUUGAUAUUUGUUUUAUUUUAUUGCUCUAUCGUUGCACUUCGUUGCAAGUGCUGCAUUGAUUAUAGAUAUUUGUAGUCAAACAAGACUUGUGUGCUGAUUGUGAGAGGAUUCAGUUCAAAGGAAAAAUAACUGUUCUGAAAACAUCCGCAGAGAAGAAUAUUUACUCAAUAGCAGAAAAUCUUCAAAUACUAUUAUAUCAGGUUGAAAUACCUUUACAGUAAUUGCAUGUUGCAAAACGGCUUACAAUGUAUCUCACUGCACCGAUUGCCAGGCUUUAACCUACAUGUAUGUACAGUUCAAAGUGUAUGGAACAUGCAAGUGUCACGGAUCACGUGAAAUGUUAAUGACAAAGAAAACACAAUAAAGAUUCAAGUAUUUGUUUGAUUUCAUAAUGACCUAAUAUUCAGUACGUAGGAUGGUCCACUGAGAAAGACUAAAUUAUCAUUAAAAGUUUGUUAUAUCUUGUGUUAAAGUUAGUUUCUGCAAAUUGCUAUUAGUUAACUGUUGCUAGUUAAUUACAGAAAGUUGCAUUCAG